UACGUAGGGUGCGAGCGUUGUCCGGAAUUAUUGGGCGUAAAGAGCUCGUAGGCGGUCUGUCGCGUCGGCUGUGAAAACUCGGGGCUCAACCCCGAGCCUGCAGUCGAUACGGGCAGACUAGAGUGCUGUAGGGGAGACUGGAAUUCCUGGUGUAGCGGUGAAAUGCGCAGAUAUCAGGAGGAACACCGGUGGCGAAGGCGGGUCUCUGGGCAGUAACUGACGCUGAGGAGCGAAAGCGUGGGGGAGCAAACAGG
rnacentral:rRNA from 1 species